UGUGCUCUGCCGAUAAAGGUCCUAUGCAGAGAGAAUUACUUUUGUUCCCCCUCAAAAUCCAACUCUACCUAAACAGAAAUU